UGCAAUUCUCCAUACUAAUUUGAAGAUUUGGGUUACUAUUAGCAUUUGGCCUUAAAAUGGCUUUAACUCAGGCAAAGAUAGUGCUGCUGUUCAUAGCCAUGAUGGUCCUCAUCUCAUCUGCUGCAGCUGCUGUUGCCCCCCAGGAUUUUAUUAUCAAACCUUCCAAUCUCGGAAGGAAGCUAUUAGCAACGUAUUAUAGCACUCCCAGUGUAUAUGCUGGUCGUAAUGGUGGGGGAGGCAAUCCAUGCUGUAAAUGAUAACAACAGUACAAGCUAAAGACAUUGAUCUGCUGGGGAGAAAGAUCAUGUAUGUUGUUUGGAAAAAAUUAUUAAUAAAUGUCGAAGACAAAGGCAGUGUUGAAACCAUAAAUUCCUUUCACCAUACUCUAUUUAUCAAAUGAAAAGAUGCUUUUACCGUAUUGCAUCAA